GUUACAGUUCUUUGAGGAUCCUACAGCCUGCACAUGGAGACCAUGGUGACGACCCCAGUUGGCCCAUCCCAGAGACAGCCAUAGAGGCCCACGCAUAAACUGAUCCCCGGAGCAUUGCUAGUCACACAGUCUAUGUUAGGAACUUCUUUGGAACACAUAAUUUCAUAUUCAAAAUGUACGGAGUAGAAGGAAGAGAAAAGAAUAAGAUGAAAAGACUCCGAAGCUGAAAGCCAUUAGCGAAGACAGGUCUAAGUGGCUCAAUUCAUCUCGAUCCUGCAGCACGCUUUGAAGAUUUUACAUUUCCACCCGUGUUCACUUCUGAUCUCGGCAGAGAGCGCGUCUGUGUCCAUCCACAGGCGGCAUGGAGAGCCAGCAUGCUACAGAGCUGCAGGAGGGGAGAAGAGUCCUUUCAAGAUGGCAAUCCAUGAAGAUUCAGUGAACAGUGUCUCCUUGUAGCAUCUGCAAUACA
rnacentral:lncRNA from 1 species